UAGUUUGAUUCUGGCUCAGAACGAACGCUGGCGGCAGGCUUAACACAUGCAAGUCGAACGGGAUGUAUCCUUCGGGGUACGUUCAGUGGCGCACGGGUGAGUAACGCGUGGGAACCUACCUUGUAGUACGGAAUAGCCGAUGGAAACGUCGAUUAAUACCGUAUACACCCCUCGGGGGGGAAAGAUUUAUCGCUAUAAGAUGGGCCCGCGUUAGAUUAGCUAGUUGGUGGGGUAAUGGCCUACCAAGGCGACGAUCUAUAGCUGGUCUGAGAGGAUGAUCAGCCACACUGGGACUGAGACACGGCCCAGACUCCUACGGGAGGCAGCAGUGGGGAAUAUUGGACAAUGGGCGCAAGCCUGAUCCAGCCAUGCCGCGUGAGUGAUGAAGGUCUUAGGGUUGUAAAGCUCUUUCGAAGGGGAAGAUAAUGACGGUACCCGUAGAAGAAGCUCCGGCUAACUUCGUGCCAGCAGCCGCGGUAAUACGAAGGGGGCUAGCGUUGUUCGGAAUCACUGGGCGUAAAGCGCGCGUAGGCGNCNAUGCAAGUCAGGGGUGAAAUCCCGGGGCUCAACCUCGGAACUGCCUUUGAAACUGCAUAGCUGGAGUAUGGGA
rnacentral:rRNA from 1 species